rnacentral:rRNA from 1 species
UACGGAGGGGGCUAGCGUUGUCCGGAUUUAUUGGGCGUAAAGAGCGUGUAGGCGGCCAGGUAAGUCUGCUGUGAAAACUCGAGGCUCAACCUCGAGACGUCGGCGGAAACCAUCUGGCUAGAGUCCGGAAGAGGAGAGUGGAAUUCCUGGUGUAGCGGUGAAAUGCGCAGAUAUCAGGAAGAACACCCGUGGCGAAGGCGGCUCUCUGGGACGGUACUGACGCUGAGACGCGAAAGCGUGGGGAGCGAACAGG